GUACAACGGAAAGCAGAGGACUUUAGUCUCAGGACAAAUACUUAACAUAACCAUUUCUUGAAUAAAUAACACAAAGAGAACAAUGUACUAUUUUACCGCUGAUUCUACAAAGUGAGAAGCAUUAGUAAAAAUCUGGACAAAGUAUGAUAGCCACAAUGGAUGACUCUGAUGAGGAGGAGUUCUUUGAUACGUCCGAUAACUUUCCUGAGCAAUAUUACGAGGAAGGAAAGGACACUCCACCAACACCACAGUCCCACUAUGUUCCUCCACCAGGAGAAGUAACAGUUCUCCAUGUCGGCUGUGAGACUGUUUCUCUUGGUCUGGCACCCAGUGGCUCCUCUGUUAGGUAUAAACUACAUAUAGAUUAUUCAUGGGAGACAAAAAAAAGCAGUUUGAUCAUUGAAGACUCUGGCACUGUGAAUGUUGAGGGACUGAAGCCUGGGACUGAGUAUACUUUCAGCAUCACAAGGAUAGCUGAAGAUGGAAGUCAAAGCAAAGCAGUCUCACUAUCUGUCCUCAC